UGGGGAAUAUUGGACAAUGGGCGAAAGCCUGAUCCAGCCAUGCCGCGUGUGUGAAGAAGGUCUUCGGAUUGUAAAGCACUUUAAGUUGGGAGGAAGGGCAGUAAGUUAAUACCUUGCUGUUUUGACGUUACCGACAGAAUAAGCACCGGCUAACUCUGUGCCAGCAGCCGCGGUAAUACAGAGGGUGCAAGCGUUAAUCGGAAUUACUGGGCGUAAAGCGCGCGUAGGUGGUUUGUUAAGUUGGAUGUGAAAGCCCCGGGCUCAACCUGGGAACUGCAUCCAAAACUGGCAAGCUAGAGUACGGUAGAGGGUGGUGGAAUUUCCUGUGUAGCGGUGAAAUGCGUAGAUAUAGGAAGGAACACCAGUGGCGAAGGCGACCACCUGGACUGAUACUGACACUGAGGUGCGAAAGCGUGGGGAGCAAACA
rnacentral:rRNA from 2 species